AUACGGAGGAUCCGAGCGUUAUCCGGAUUUAUUGGGUUUAAAGGGUGCGCAGGCGGGAGAUUAAGUCGGCGGUGAACAUUUUUAGCUCAAAUGUAAAACAGCCUUCGAAACCGGUUUCCUUGAGUGUAGAUGAAGUAGGCGGCAUUUGUGGUGUGACGGGGAAAUGCAUAGAUAUCACGAGGAAAUCCGAUUGCGAAGGCGUCUGACGAACUGCCCACUGACGCGGAGGCACGAAAGCGUGGGGAUCAAACAGGAUUAGAUACCCUGGUAGUCCACGCAGUAAACGAUGAUGACUAACUGCCGGCCCGUUGCGGGUCGGUGGCCAAGCGAAAGCGAUAAGUCAUCCACCUGGGGAGUACGACCGCAAGGUUGAAACUCAAAGGAAUUGACGGGG
rnacentral:rRNA from 1 species